rnacentral:lncRNA from 1 species
GCAAGCACAUCCAGGCUGGGGCGAAGAAGGUCCUGAUCACCGCCCCAGGAAAGGGUGCCAUCCCCACCUUCGUUGUGGGUGUGAACGAGCAGGACUAUAAGCACUCGGACGCUAUCAUUAGCAACGCCUCGUGCACAACCAACUGCCUUGCUCCCUUCGUCAAGGUGUUGGACGAGAAGUUCGGAAUCAUCAAGGGAACCAUGACCACUACCCACUCCUACACUGGUGACCAGAGGCUGCUCGAUGCCUCCCACCGUGACUUGAGGAGAGCGCGUGCCGCAGCCCUGAACAUUGUGCCCACCUCCACCGGAGCUGCCAAGGCCGUGGCUCUCGUAUUGCCAAAUCUGAAGGGAAAGAUCAACGGAAUUGCCCUCCGUGUGCCCACCCCUAAUGUGUCAGUUGUAGACUUGGUCGUCCAAGUUGAGAAGAAGACCUUUGCCGAGGAGGUAAACCAGGCCUUUAGAGAUGCAUGCCAAACUGAGCAGUUGAAGGGAGUGUUGGCCGUGUGCGACGAGCCAUUGGUGUCAGUGGACUUCAGGUGCACUGAUGUGUCAUCUACGGUGGACUCAUCGUUGACGAUGGUCAUGGGAGACGAUAUGGUGAAGGUUGUGGCAUGGUACGACAACGAGUGGGGAUACUCACAGAGGGUCGUCGACCUGGCCAACCUGGUUGCGGAGAAAUGGGAGUAGAUUGCCUACUUAGAGCGUUCUGCAGGUGAAGGUCAACAGUUUUUGCAAGGUCU